UAAAAUUACAACUAGAAUAUAAUUUAUUAGGUUGCACUUACAGACACGAAGAGAGUCUAGAGCAUAUCUCCACACAAGGUGGAACUCGGCGAUGUAGUGGGUCUAGGAAAACCAACUUCAACACCGGAGAGAUAUGUAAAAAAAAGAAGAUAAAACAAAAUCAAAUUAAAAGUCCAUAAAAGUUUGAUGAAAUAACAAUCCAACACGUUUCGUCCAAUGUGAGACUUCCUCAGGGAUCUGGUAGUUCUUCAUGUUGCAUGUUUCUUGUAAUGCUGGAAAUCUUCAAGAAUCCGUUUCACCUUAUGUCGUGUGUUCCACUGUGGAACGCAAAAGAUGCACUACCUGUGCGUCCGGGGAAAGUGCUGAUGACGUAGUCGUUCAUACGGAGGUAGCUUGCAAAUGGAUAAAGGAGCCAUAAUCAUAGCACGUGUGCAUGUUGGGAGAAACAUGCGCACACACAUACAAUCACACAAAAUCUAUAUGAAAGGGAGAAGACAAAAUAGGCGAACAGUCGCCUUGAAAACAAACAGUCUGAUUGAAAAUAGACAUUACAGACCUCAUUGAUAUACUAUGCUGUCGGGAAUAUCAAAGAAUAACAGUGAAAUAUACUCUUGUGUAUAUAAAAAGUGUAUAAUUAAAUAGAAAAAAAUAUACAUAAAUAAUGAAUCUAAAAAUAAAAAGGGAAAAAUAUAUAUUAAUAAAAAUUUAUGAUGACC